ensembl:snoRNA
UCAGCCCUUAGGGAUUCAGGGUGCGAUCAGGCUGAAGCUGUUAUUUUAAACAGGAGCCUAAAGUGGUAUCUUUGUGUGGUCUGUUGGCCAUUAGAAAUGAAAUGGUCAAUUCAUUAGAAAGAAAUAGCU